rnacentral:rRNA from 1 species
ACUAAGCGUACACGGUGGAUGCCCUGGCAGUCAGAGGCGAUGAAGGACGUGCUAAUCUGCGAUAAGCGUCGGUAAGGUGAUAUGAACCGUUAUAACCGGCGAUUUCCGAAUGGGGAAACCCAGUGUGAUUCGUCACACUAUCAUUAACUGAAUCCAUAGGUUAAUGAGGCGAACCGGGGGAACUGAAACAUCUAAGUACCCCGAGGAAAAGAAAUCAACCGAGAUUCCCCCAGUAGCGGCGAGCGAACGGGGAGCAGCCCAGAGCCUGAAUCAGUGUGUGUGUUAGUGGAAGCGUCUGGAAAGGCGUGCGAUACAGGGUGACAGCCCCGUACACAAAAAUGCACAUGCUGUGAGCUCGAUGAGUAGGGCGGGACACGUGGUAUCCUGUCUGAAUAUGGGGGGACCAUCCUCCAAGGCUAAAUACUCCUGACUGACCGAUAGUGAACCAGUACCGUGAGGGAAAGGCGAAAAGAACCCCGGCGAGGGGAGUGAAAAAGAACCUGAAACCGUGUACGUACAAGCAGUGGGAGCACGCUUAGGCGUGUGACUGCGUACCUUUUGUAUAAUGGGUCAGCGACUUAUAUUCUGUAGCAAGGUUAACCGAAUAGGGGAGCCGAAGGGAAACCGAGUCUUAACUGGGCGUUAAGUUGCAGGGUAUAGACCCGAAACCCGGUGAUCUAGCCAUGGGCAGGUUGAAGGUUGGGUAACACUAACUGGAGGACCGAACCGACUAAUGUUGAAAAAUUAGCGGAUGACUUGUGGCUGGGGGUGAAAGGCCAAUCAAACCGGGAGAUAGCUGGUUCUCCCCGAAAGCUAUUUAGGUAGCGCCUCGUGAAUUCAUCUCCGGGGGUAGAGCACUGUUUCGGCAAGGGGGUCAUCCCGACUUACCAACCCGAUGCAAACUGCGAAUACCGGAGAAUGUUAUCACGGGAGACACACGGCGGGUGCUAACGUCCGUCGUGAAGAGGGAAACAACCCAGACCGCCAGCUAAGGUCCCAAAGUCAUGGUUAAGUGGGAAACGAUGUGGGAAGGCCCAGACAGCCAGGAUGUUGGCUUAGAAGCAGCCAUCAUUUAAAGAAAGCGUAAUAGCUCACUGGUCGAGUCGGCCUGCGCGGAAGAUGUAACGGGGCUAAACCAUGCACCGAAGCUGCGGCAGCGACACUGUGUGUUGUUGGGUAGGGGAGCGUUCUGUAAGCCUGCGAAGGUGUGCUGUGAGGCAUGCUGGAGGUAUCAGAAGUGCGAAUGCUGACAUAAGUAACGAUAAAGCGGGUGAAAAGCCCGCUCGCCGGAAGACCAAGGGUUCCUGUCCAACGUUAAUCGGGGCAGGGUGAGUCGACCCCUAAGGCGAGGCCGAAAGGCGUAGUCGAUGGGAAACAGGUUAAUAUUCCUGUACUUGGUGUUACUGCGAAGGGGGGACGGAGAAGGCUAUGUUGGCCGGGCGACGGUUGUCCCGGUUUAAGCGUGUAGGCUGGUUUUCCAGGCAAAUCCGGAAAAUCAAGGCUGAGGCGUGAUGACGAGGCACUACGGUGCUGAAGCAACAAAUGCCCUGCUUCCAGGAAAAGCCUCUAAGCAUCAGGUAACAUCAAAUCGUACCCCAAACCGACACAGGUGGUCAGGUAGAGAAUACCAAGGCGCUUGAGAGAACUCGGGUGAAGGAACUAGGCAAAAUGGUGCCGUAACUUCGGGAGAAGGCACGCUGAUAUGUAGGUGAAGUCCCUCGCGGAUGGAGCUGAAAUCAGUCGAAGAUACCAGCUGGCUGCAACUGUUUAUUAAAAACACAGCACUGUGCAAACACGAAAGUGGACGUAUACGGUGUGACGCCUGCCCGGUGCCGGAAGGUUAAUUGAUGGGGUCAGCGCAAGCGAAGCUCUUGAUCGAAGCCCCGGUAAACGGCGGCCGUAACUAUAACGGUCCUAAGGUAGCGAAAUUCCUUGUCGGGUAAGUUCCGACCUGCACGAAUGGCGUAAUGAUGGCCAGGCUGUCUCCACCCGAGACUCAGUGAAAUUGAACUCGCUGUGAAGAUGCAGUGUACCCGCGGCAAGACGGAAAGACCCCGUGAACCUUUACUAUAGCUUGACACUGAACAUUGAGCCUUGAUGUGUAGGAUAGGUGGGAGGCUUUGAAGUGUGGACGCCAGUCUGCAUGGAGCCGACCUUGAAAUACCACCCUUUAAUGUUUGAUGUUCUAACGUUGACCCGUGAUCCGGGUUGCGGACAGUGUCUGGUGGGUAGUUUGACUGGGGCGGUCUCCUCCUAAAGAGUAACGGAGGAGCACGAAGGUUGGCUAAUCCUGGUCGGACAUCAGGAGGUUAGUGCAAUGGCAUAAGCCAGCUUGACUGCGAGCGUGACGGCGCGAGCAGGUGCGAAAGCAGGUCAUAGUGAUCCGGUGGUUCUGAAUGGAAGGGCCAUCGCUCAACGGAUAAAAGGUACUCCGGGGAUAACAGGCUGAUACCGCCCAAGAGUUCAUAUCGACGGCGGUGUUUGGCACCUCGAUGUCGGCUCAUCACAUCCUGGGGCUGAAGUAGGUCCCAAGGGUAUGGCUGUUCGCCAUUUAAAGUGGUACGCGAGCUGGGUUUAGAACGUCGUGAGACAGUUCGGUCCCUAUCUGCCGUGGGCGCUGGAGAACUGAGGGGGGCUGCUCCUAGUACGAGAGGACCGGAGUGGACGCAUCACUGGUGUUCGGGUUGUCAUGCCAAUGGCACUGCCCGGUAGCUAAAUGCGGAAGAGAUAAGUGCUGAAAGCAUCUAAGCACGAAACUUGCCCCGAGAUGAGUUCUCCCUGACUCCUUGAGAGUCCUGAAGGAACGUUGAAGACGACGACGUUGAUAGGCCGGGUGUGUAAGCGCAGCGAUGCGUUGAGCUAACCGGUACUAAUGAACCGUGAGGCUUAACC